rnacentral:rRNA from 1 species
UACGGAGGAUGCGAGCGUUAUCCGGAUUUAUUGGGUUUAAAGGGUGCGUAGGCGGGCUUUUAAGUCAGCGGUAAAAAUUCGGGGCUCAACCCCGUCCGGCCGUUGAAACUGGGGGCCUUGAGUGGGCGAGAAGAAGGCGGAAUGCGUGGUGUAGCGGUGAAAUGCAUAGAUAUCACGCAGAACCCCGAUUGCGAAGGCAACCUUCCGGCGCCCUACUGACGCUGAGGCACGAAAGCGUGGGGAGCAAACAGG